rnacentral:rRNA from 1 species
AACGAACGCUGGCGGCGCGCCUAAUACAUGCAAGUCGAGCGAGAAGACGUAGCAAUACGUUUGUAAAGCGGCGAACGGGUGAGGAAUACAUGGGUAACCUACCCUCGAGUGGGGAAUAACUAACCGAAAGGUUAGCUAAUACCGCAUACGACCCCUGGUCUGCGGAUCGGGAGGGAAAGCGAUACCGUGGGUAUCGCGCUCUUGGAUGGGCUCAUGUCCUAUCAGCUUGUUGGUGAGGUAACGGCUCACCAAGGCUUCGACGGGUAGCUGGUCUGAGAGGACGAUCAGCCACACUGGCACUGAGACACGGGCCAGACUCCUACGGGAGGCAGCAGUAAGGAAUAUUGCGCAAUGGGCGACAGCCUGACGCAGCGACGCCGCGUGGGGGAUGAAGGUCUUCGGAUUGUAAACCCCUUUCGGCAGGGAAGAUGGAACGGGUAACCGUUCGGACGGUACCUGCAGAAGCAGCCACGGCUAACUUCGUGCCAGCCGCCGCAGUAAUAC